GCAGUUCACAACAAAAAUCGAGCAACGCCACGUCGCACAAACAGGACAGGAGGGGCGAGGGUGUGUGCGCGCGCGUGCUGUCCCCAAAUGGAUGAGAAAUAAGGGAAGGGGGGCUGGGGAGCGUGUGAUGAAGUAACACUGCUAGGCCCGCGACUAGUCGGGCCCCGGCCUCGGGUCUGCAGGGACAAGGUUGGGGGCCGGGUGGCAGACGCGGCUUCUGGUCUUCCCCCAGCGCGAGGGUCGUGGCGGGAAGCGGGGACGCGGCGCGCGCUCGGAGCCUUCUCCCCGCCCCGCCCCGCCCAAGGGUCUUCCUCCCCCAGAAUUCGGAGCGGCCCCUCCUCCAAGCCAGGCUCGCCGCGGGGCGCUGAGCAGGCCGGGACACCGCGGCCGAGGUUAUCGUUAGGCAUCUCCCAGGCGACCGGCUCCGCAGCAAGAUGGCGGACGAGAAAGACAGGGAAGGGCCUGGGGAUACGACAGUGAUGAGAUGAGGCCUCUGACUUUACUGAUCGAACAUCUAAUGGAAGGUGGAAGAAGAGACCAUCACACAAUUACGGUGUUACGGGGAACAUAGGAGAUAAUAGUAGCAGAAUUUCACAAAAAAAUCAAGGAAGCAUUUGAAGUGUUUGACCAUGAGUCGAAUAAUACAGUGGAUGUGAGAGAGAUUGGAACAAUUAUCAGGUCAUUAGGAUGCUGCCCUACUGAAGGAGAGCUGCAUGAUCUGAUUGCAGAGGUAGAAGAAGAAGAACCCACUGGAUACAUUCGAUUCGAAAAAUUUCUUCCGGUGAUGACAGAAAUACUACUAGAAAGGAGAUACAGACCAAUUCCAGAAGAUGUCCUUCUUCGAGCUUUUGAGGUUUUAGAUUCAGCUAAACGUGGGUUUCUUACUAAGGAUGAACUGAUCAAGUAUAUGACUGAAGAAGGUGAGCCUUUUUCUCAAGAGGAAAUGGAAGAAAUGUUGUCUGCUGCAAUUGAUCCAGAAUCAAAUUCAAUUCAUUACAAGGACUAUAUAACAAUGAUGGUGAUAGAUGAAAAUUAAAUGUUCUAAAGAUAAUUUCUAAUUGAAAGGACAAUGUUAGAAAUUGCUUCUCCAUGUUAAUUUCACAUCUGAGAUAAGAGAAUCUAAGGAAUCUUAGGAUUCCUAUAUGUGAUAUUUAAUACCUUGUGACGUAACUAUUUCUAUUUUGAGAUACUUUGUUUUUAAAGAUGAUCAUAACACUUUAAAACAAAUUUAGUAUGUCUAGUCUUAGAGAAUGAUAAAUUACUCUUUAUUUAAAAACUAUUCUUAAAACAUUUUAACAUUAGAAUUGAUUAUUAUAUUCUGUAAUAAAACUCAGGUAACCUUCAAAUUAAGUAAGCUGACAAAAUGAAAAUGACUGUAAUGACCCAAGGUUUGACAUAUAAAGAUCUUAAGAGGGGGCAGAAUGACCAGCAAUUGACAAUGAGUAGCAAUAUAAUGAAGGCUUCCUUUUUCAACAAUAACAAAUGCUUCAUCAAUCUGAGUGUGGAAGGAGAUUUAUCAAAAUAAAUAUUAAUUGAUUUUUUAUGAGUGCCAAUUACGAAUGUCAUUUGGGAUUGUAAUAACUGAGUGUAAACAUUUAUAUUUGCUGAUCCAGCAUGUCACCAUUUAUGGAGUAGCUAAAGGAGUUGAGAUCAUUGAAACUAGAGAAAAGAAGGCUGAGUGGAAAUUCAUAGUGUAAGGUAGUGGCAAUUCUCUCUUUGUCUUUAGAAUUGUCACCUACUCGGUAUAUCUGUCAUGGGAAUAUUGUCCUGAAUACUGAGUAAGAAUACUGAGAAAUGUUUUGGUGUGCAAAUGUGCAGCUCCUGAAAGAGCAGAAUGAAGGACGCCUCUGAGCACAAGCAGUCACAAUGGAAAAAUAGUCACUAUAUGGCAACUUACAAGCAAAGGGGAAGAUAAGGUAAAGGAGAAUGAACACUUUUCCCAACUUAGAUAUUCUUUUAUAACAAUACACACACACACACACACACACACGGAUCUCUAUUUAAAGAUGGCUUUACCACCGUAUGUGUGUAUCUACAUAGAUGGAAACGUUUCAUGUUGCUGGGAGCCUUCCUCAGGCAUGCUGUCUUGCCUCCGAAAGAUGCAGCUGCUACCCAAGAGACUGUCACUGUUCAUUCAUUCAUGAAACAUUGAAUGAGUAUCAUGAGAUAAUGUGCUAGGAACCAGAGUCCCUAACGAAUCCAGGUCCCAGUUUAGUGAAGGAAGCCUGCAAGUCCAUCAGCAGCCACAUUUCAGACAGGGGCACGUUCAGGGUACCGUGGAAGUACAGCAGAGGGGCAGCUACUUGGCCGUGCAGGGAGGGAGCUUUCUGCGAGAUGAAAGGUGCCAGUGAGCAGAGAACGCUUCCCAGGACAGGAAACACCUGACUUUAAAAUGAGAAGUUUAGUAAGUGGGCAGCGGGGCACAGGGCAUUUCAGCAGGUGAGCGGCAAGUCCAGAAACCCUAGAGGGGUCAUGAAACAUGGAACCACCUGGGAAUUGAAAGCAGCUCAGUAUGUUUGGAAUGUAGGAGAUUUGGGGGUCAUGAUGAGAGGUGAAACUGGAGCGGUAAACAGGAGCUGUAUCAUUAAGAAUAUCGGGUUAGGUGUUGAGUUAAGGUUUCAGCGUGAGAGUUUGGACUUUAUUCUGAAGAUCACAGAGAAAGAUCAUUUGUAAGCAGCAGGGAAAAUAGAUUUGAUAGGUCAAGACUAGAAGUGAGACCCGUUUGUAGGCCAUUUGGUUGGUGGGAGGGGAUAGACUGAGAAAAGUCAAGCAUGAAUCCCAGGUUUCUGGCUCAGACGAUGGGUAAAAGUGCCAUUCAUUCAGAUAAGAAAUCUGAGGAGCAAGUGGGGCAUUGGUAAGCAAAAUGGUGAGGUUGGGUACAGACACCUUUGGAGCUCAGCAUGUAAGCAGCUUGAAAGGAAAAGAAGAGAGUCUAGAACAAAACCAUGGGGAACAUCAGCAUUUACGGGAAGGCAGAGGAAGAGGAGCCCACAAAAGAGACUGGGAAGGAGAAGCCUGAGAAGAGGAAAGCUGGAAAGAAGUAUCUUGGAUGCCAAGAUCAGAGACAAUCGCAAGGAGGGGGCAGUGGCCAUGCCAGAUGUAGUGGAGAGAAGAGGGAAAUUAAAGACGGAAAAAACGUCCGUUGGUGGUAGCAAGGAAGAGUUCUUUGAGGGCCUCUCCCAGAGCAGAUGUGGGGAAGCAACAGGGUAUAGAGUUGAGUGUGGAUUGAGGAAGGAAUGGAUGUGAGAAGGUUGCAGCCUGGAGGACAAGUUACUCAGCAGUGAAGAGAAGGAAACAGACAACAGGCUGGGGGAGUGAUUUUUGGAAGAUGGGCAGAUGUAGCAAGUUCAUUUCUAGUCCGAGGGCUGAGAGCCCGCAGAGAGGGUGAAGGGAGGGGCCGGCUUCCAGAGCAAUACAGAGAUUUAGGAACAGUGAACCAACGCCUGUGGUCCCUACCUCAUGGCCUCUACCGCCUUUUGGAGAGGAAGGUAGUAGGUUACAGAGCUUGAAGAGAAUGGUGUAACUUUAGAAUAUCUCUUGUGGGAAAUGGGAAAAAGAGUUGAGAGAGCCCAUGCAAGGAUUUUCAAGAAACUCUGGAAGAUUUUGUGCUCAGGAGCAAAAAAGAAAAGAAAAAAGGUAGAUUGUUCUACCAGGGUUAAGCUUUGUCAUGUGGGUGAGGUGGAAGGAGCCAAAGGCCGAGGAAUCUGCAAGAACACAGUUCCGAGGGUGUCCGUGGCUAACAUGUUAGGGAAAGACCCAGGCAGGAGGACUGGCUAACAGAUGGGAGGGUUAGAGGACUCGGGGCUCUAAAAGGGCAAGUGGCUGGUGUUGGUAGCAAGGGUGGUCUUUCCUACCAUUCCUGAGUGAUAAUACGUUUCCUUUGAAAUUUGACUUCACUGUGUUCUUAGAGCGUUUCUUUUCUUCUCCUGUGUUAUUAUAUGAAUAAAUAGUAAGAGUGGC